AGCAGCAUGGCGCAGUGGUAGCGCGCGGGGCCCAUAUCAACUAGAUGUUUGGAAGAAACCCCGAGGUCACUUGAUCGAAACAAGUUGCUGCUA